rnacentral:rRNA from 1 species
UACGUAAGGGGCGAGCGUUGUCCGGAUUCAUUGGGCGUAAAGAGCUCGUAGGCGGCUCAGUAAGUCGGGUGUGAAACCCUCAGGCUCAACCUGGGGACGCCACUCGAUACUGCUGUGGCUAGAGUCCAGUAGGGGAGUGUGGAAUUCCCGGUGUAGCGGUGAAAUGCGCAGAUAUCGGGAGGAACACCAGCGGCGAAGGCGGCACUCUGGGCUAGUACUGACGCUGAGGAGCGAAAGCGUGGGUAGCAAACAGG